AUUGAACGCUGGCGGCAGGCCUAACACAUGCAAGUCGAGCGAGUGGCGGACGGGUGAGUAAUGUCUGGGAAACUGCCUGAUGGAGGGGGAUAACUACUGGAAAGGGUAGCUAAUACCGCAUACCAUCGGAUGUGCCCAGAUGGGAUUAGCUAGUAGGUGGGGUAACGGCUCACCUAGGCGACGAUCCCUAGCUGGUUUGAGAGGAUGACCAGCCACACUGGAACUGAGACACGGUCCAGACUCCUACGGGAGGCAGCAGUGGGGAAUAUUGUACAAUGGGCGCAACCCUGAUGCAGCCAUGCCGCGUGUAUGAAGAAGGCCUUCGGGUUGUAAAGUACUUUCGGCGGGGAGGCGUUAUCCGCAGAAGAAGCACCGGCUAACUCCGUGCCAGCAGCCGCGGUAAUUC
rnacentral:rRNA from 1 species